rnacentral:misc_RNA from 1 species
CUGAGAUGGGCUGCUUCCAUUCUAUCUUUGAGAAAUUGGGUCGCGGAUAGCUUUUUAAAUGUGUGAAAUCUUCAACGAAAUAAUCUCUUAAUUUUUCUCUCCUCUUGCAUUCUUAAUUCUUUUGGAUUUAUGAAUAUUAUUUCGAAAUACGUAGAUGUAAAACACAGCAUAUCUCAUUGUCGCGAAAAAAUGAAAAAUGCAAGAAUACUAGAAUCGAGGAAAAGAAUUUUGCAUUGAAGACGAAAUAGAGCAAACAGUGGAAACCAAACAUACGAGAUAAAUCAUCCAUAACGUAUGAACGACAGUGCAACGCGGAAUGUUUCGUUGGCGGUCGUUUCGACGUUCGAAAUCUGGCGAACGGCAUCGUCAGCUUCCCAAGCGUUAAGUCAACCGAAGAAAACCUCAAACAAGACUGCAGCCGAAUUUUCCGCGCUCCGGAAUAAUUAGUCUGACGUUCUUCGCCGAGGGAUUCGCGAAACGAUGCCAAUGGAAAAGAGAACCACGAUUCUCUACGAUGUCCUGUUAUCUUCCCACUGCAUACAAAUCCGUCAAGACGGCAGAGAACAAACUCAACGAGCGUAACUUCCUUCCGUCUAUUCAUUCGCGCGUUCGGUUUGGCGAAUCCAAGAAUUCCAUCGAGACAUUGUAGCGCGAAAAUUUCGCUAAUUUCUGGUACGUACGUUCCAUGGAUAUGAACCAAUUCUUCCUCGUUUCGAGCUGGUGUUGUUAUUCGAGGACAUUUUCCAGGAAUGAAAAAUGUAGCUGUUACGAAGGUUAAUUAUGAGCAAACAUCUAAUUGCUUGUUGUUAAACUAUGAUCUCGAAACUUGUUUGUGCGGUUACGUAAUAGAUUAUGAGGAAGUCUAUAAAAAUAUGUUCCGACGAUUCUAGGAUGAUUCAGUUGAUUCUGAGAUUUAGUACUUUCUGCGUUGUGUUGACUCGUCUUACUCAUAGAUAUAUUGUAUUAAAUUUAUGAUGUAAUUUAGGUUCUAAUUUUUUUAUGAGAAAU